GUGAGUAGAGCUAGCAAAACAUAUUAACACUAUGCUCAAAUGAAAUGCAUCAUAACACAAACAAUUCACAUAAGGGUUGGGUGAACUCGUCACCAAAUAGUCCAAGUUAACUCUGUGCCAGGCCUGUAGAAUGGGGCCUGGUCUUCCUGUCAUAACAUACAUUACUUACCAUUUUCCCAGGGCCUCCUCUGGGCUCCUGGU
rnacentral:lncRNA from 1 species